GCCCAGGUGGUGAAACGGUAAACACAACAGUCUGAGGGGCUGUCGCCCGAAAGGGUUUGCGGGUUCAAUUCCCGCCCUGGGCACCG
rnacentral:tRNA from 1 species